AGCCCGAUAGUCUAGCGGUCAAUGAUCUCGCGCUCUGGACAUGAUACAGAGGGAUACGCGGGGACGGCAGUUCGAAUCUGCCUCGGGCUA
rnacentral:tRNA from 3 species